AGAAUGAACGUUGGCGGCGUGGAUUAGGCAUGCAAGUCGAGCGGACCCCGCAAGGGGUUAGCGGCGAAAGGGACAGUAAUGUGCAGAUACGUACCCUGGGGUUCGGGAUAGCCACGGGAAACUGUGGGUAAUACCGAAUAACAUCUCCGGAUCAAAGGUGUGAUUCCGCCUUGGAUCGGUCUGCAUCCUAUUAGCUUGUUGGUGAGGUAACGGCUCACCAAGGCCAUGAUCGGGUAGCGGGUGUGUAGAGCACCGACCCGCGUCAUUGGGACUGAGACACUGCCCAGACCACCGUACGGGUGGCGUGCAGUCGGAGGAUCUUACGGCAACGUGGGCGACAAGCCUCGACCGAGCGGACCGCCGGUCGUGGACGGGUA
rnacentral:rRNA from 1 species